GUAUUGUAUGAAAGGAAAGAAGGUUAUCAUUCCCCUUGACAAGAGGAAC
rnacentral:snRNA from 1 species